CUUUACAAAAGCCAAACUCGUCGUGAGGCGAGGACGGAAAGCCACAGAUCUUCACCAUUGAAGAUGGCUGGGUUGCAUUG
rnacentral:ncRNA from 1 species